rnacentral:misc_RNA from 1 species
UUUUUUUUUAAUUUUUUUUAUAUACAUUGGAAAUUUUAUGAGAAGAAGGGUGGGGGUAUCAUUGAACUAAGUUGAGUCAAUACAUUGCACUACUUGAACUCUACUCCACGUGAAAAUCACUUGAAGCUCAACUCAAACUCGAUCGACCAUUACUUUUCAUGAUUGUGCUUGAUUUAAUAUGGCAAUGAGAUGUUUAAGCUUGCUUGACUUUACUUGAUCAUCAUUAUAACUUUGGCUAAUGAUUAGAAAAAUCUUAUACUUUAUGUGCUUUUUCAAUUUUAUUCAAUGCUUUCAAUUUUAU